AUAGCUCAAGCCCUUAAUCGGCAGCGGUUGACCGUUGUCGAGUUGUAGCUUGAAGGUUGGCACUUUGGCAGCGACACCGACAUAAGCCUUUUGAAUAGGGCGCCAGAGAGGGUGCAAGCCCCGUCUUUUGUCGGAGGUUAUCUGUCAUUGCAUGUGUCUUCCAGCGAGUCGGGUUGUUUGGGAAUGCAGCCCUAAUGGGAGGUAAAUUUCUUCCAAAGCUAAAUAUCAGCCAGAGACCGAUAGCGAA
rnacentral:rRNA from 1 species